rnacentral:rRNA from 1 species
AUUGAACGCUGGCGGCAGGCCUAACACAUGCAAGUCGAGCGGAUGAAGGGAGCUUGCUCCUGGAUUCAGCGGCGGACGGGUGAGUAAUGCCUAGGAAUCUGCCUGGUAGUGGGGGAUAACGUCCGGAAACGGGCGCUAAUACCGCAUACGUCCUGAGGGAGAAAGUGGGGGAUCUUCGGACCUCACGCUAUCAGAUGAGCCUAGGUCGGAUUAGCUAGUUGGUGGGGUAAAGGCCUACCAAGGCGACGAUCCGUAACUGGUCUGAGAGGAUGAUCAGUCACACUGGAACUGAGACACGGUCCAGACUCCUACGGGAGGCAGCAGUGGGGAAUAUUGGACAAUGGGCGAAAGCCUGAUCCAGCCAUGCCGCGUGUGUGAAGAAGGUCUUCGGAUUGUAAAGCACUUUAAGUUGGGAGGAAAAGCAGUAAGUUAAUACCUUGCUGUUUUGACGUUACCAACAGAAUAAGCACCGGCUAACUUCGUG